UACGAAGGGUGCAAGCGUUACUCGGAAUUACUGGGCGUAAAGCGUGCGUAGGUGGUGAGUUAAGUCUGAUGUGAAAUCCCCGGGCUCAACCUGGGAAUGGCAUUGGAUACUGGCUCGCUAGAGUGCGGUAGAGGGUGGUGGAAUUCCCGGUGUAGCAGUGAAAUGCGUAGAGAUCCGGAAGAACACCCAUGGCGAAGGCAGCACUCUAGGCUUGAGCCGUAAAGGUUAACCUGACGCUGAGGUACGAAAGCCAGGGGAGCGAACGGG
rnacentral:rRNA from 1 species